UGCAGUAGAACGCUGAGACUUUAGCUUGCUAGAGUUGGAAGAGUUGCGAACGGGUGAGUAACGCGUAGGUAACCUGCCUAUUAGUGGGGGAUAACUAUUGGAAACGAUAGCUAAUACCGCAUAAUAGUGUUUAACACAUGUUAGAGACUUAAAAGAUGCAAUUGCAUCACUAGUAGAUGGACCUGCGUUGUAUUAGCUAGUUGGUGGGGUAACGGCCUACCAAGGCGACGAUACAUAGCCGACCUGAGAGGGUGAUCGGCCACACUGGGACUGAGACACGGCCCAGACUCCUACGGGAGGCAGCAGUAGGGAAUCUUCGGCAAUGGGGGCAACCCUGACCGAGCAACGCCGCGUGAGUGAAGAAGGUUUUCGGAUCGUAAAGCUCUGUUGUAAGAGAAGAACGUGUGUGAGAGUGGAAAGUUCACACAGUGACGGUAACUUACCAGAAAGGGACGGCUAACUACGUGCCAGCAGCCGCGGUAAUACGUAGGUCCCGAGCGUUGUCCGGAUUUAUUGGGCGUAAAGCGAGCGCAGGCGGUUUAAUAAGUCUGAAGUUAAAGGCAGUGGCUUAACCAUUGUUCGCUUUGGAAACUGUUAAACUUGAGUGCAGAAGGGGAGAGUGGAAUUCCAUGUGUAGCGGUGAAAUGCGUAGAUAUAUGGAGGAACACCGGUGGCGAAAGCGGCUCUCUGGUCUGUAACUGACGCUGAGGCUCGAAAGCGUGGGGAGCAAACAGGAUUAGAUACCCUGGUAGUCCACGCCGUAAACGAUGAGUGCUAGGUGUUAGGCCCUUUCCGGGGCUUAGUGCCGCAGCUAACGCAUUAAGCACUCCGCCUGGGGAGUACGACCGCAAGGUUGAAACUCAAAGGAAUUGACGGGGGGCCCGCACAAGCGGUGGAGCAUG
rnacentral:rRNA from 1 species